rnacentral:rRNA from 1 species
UACGUAGGGGGCAAGCGUUGUCCGGAUUUAUUGGGCGUAAAGCGCACGUAGGCGGUUUGUUAUGUCGGAUGUGAAAGCCCUUGGCUCAACUGAGGAAGUGCAUCCGAAACUGGCAAGCUAGAGUAUGUAAGAGGGUCGCGGAAUUCCCGGUGUAGAGGUGAAAUUCGUAGAUAUCGGGAGGAACACCGGUGGCGAAGGCGGCGACCUGGGACAAUACUGACGCUGAGGUGCGAAAGCGUGGGGAGCAAACAGG